UUUGUUAACACACAACAAUGUUAGUUGGCAUGUUAUAUAUAAUAAUAAAAUAUACAACUUUCAACAACGGAUCUCUUGGCUCUCGCAUCGAUGAAGAACACAGCGAAAUGUGAUAAGUAAUGUGAAUUGCAGAAUCCAGUGAAUCAUCGAAUCUUUGAACGCAUCUUGCGCUCCUUGGCAUUCCGAGGAGCAUGCCUGUUUGAGUGUCAUUAAACUAUCAAAACACUUUUUUUGUUGAAGUGUUUUGGACUUUGGGAGUACUGUGCUGGUCUCUUUUGUUUUGGACCCAGCUCUCCUCAAAAGCAUUAACUUUGGAGAACCAUCAGUGUGAUAUAUCAUUUUGUUUAUACGCUGGCUUUCUCCUUUUAAAAAUGCCCCUUUGACCUCAAAUCAGGUAGGACUACCCGCUGAACUUAAGCAU
rnacentral:misc_RNA from 1 species